rnacentral:tRNA from 1 species
CUCUUGAUAGCUCAGUUGGUAGAGCGAUGGACUGUAAUUGAAACCUUAGAGAUCCACAGGUCGCGUGUUCGACUCACGCUCGGGAGA